CCCGUCGAAUAUUUAGCACAUAAAUAAACAGUGGAGCAGGAACUAAACAGGAUUCCCUUAGUAUAAUGGUGAACGAACAGGGAUCAGCUUGGGUUGGAAACCGAGUUUUUGCGAUGGAUUGUGGCCUUUAGACAUACUACCAACGACGGCGCGAGCGUGGGCCUCUUGGAACAGAGCGUCUACGUGGGUGAGAAUCCUGUGUUUCGCUUGAUGCCCGCCGUGCACGGUACUUGCUCUCACAGUCACGCUCCGCGCUCCUUGGAAUUGGAGCGUAAAUUGGGUGGUAAAUUUCAAAAGCUAAAUACAGGCUCGAGACCGAUAGCAAACAAGUACCAUGAGGGAAAGAUGAAAAGGACUUUGAAAAGAGAGUUAAAAGUGCUUGAAACAUCAAGGUCCACGCCAACCUCGGCCGUCGCCGCCCCUAAACCCGG
rnacentral:ncRNA from 1 species